AGAGUUUGAUCCUGGCUCAGGACGAACGCUGGCGGCGUGCUUAACACAUGCAAGUCGAACGGAAAGGCCCUUCGGGGUACUCGAGUGGCGAACGGGUGAGUAACACGUGGGUGAUCUGCCCUGCACUUUGGGAUAAGCCUGGGAAACUGGGUCUAAUACCGAAUAGGACCGCGCUCUUCAUGGGGUGUGGUGGAAAGCUUUUGCGGUGUGGGAUGGGCCCGCGGCCUAUCAGCUUGUUGGUGGGGUAAUGGCCUACCAAGGCGACGACGGGUAGCCGGCCUGAGAGGGUGACCGGCCACACUGGGACUGAGAUACGGCCCAGACUCCUACGGGAGGCAGCAGUGGGGAAUAUUGCACAAUGGGCGCAAGCCUGAUGCAGCGACGCCGCGUGAGGGAUGACGGCCUUCGGGUUGUAAACCUCUUUCAAUAGGGACGAAGCGCAAGUGACGGUACCUAUAGAAGAAGGACCGGCCAACUACGUGCCAGCAGCCGCGGUAAUACGUAGGGUCCGAGCGUUGUCCGGAAUUACUGGGCGUAAAGAGCUCGUAGGUGGUUUGUCGCGUUGUUCGUGAAAACUCGCAGCUUAACUGUGGGCGUGCGGGCGAUACGGGCAGACUAGAGUACUGCAGGGGAGACUGGAAUUCCUGGUGUAGCGGUGGAAUGCGCAGAUAUCAGGAGGAACACCGGUGGCGAAGGCGGGUCUCUGGGCAGUAACUGACGCUGAGGAGCGAAAGCGUGGGGAGCGAACAGGAUUAGAUACCCUGGUAGUCCAA
rnacentral:rRNA from 1 species